rnacentral:rRNA from 1 species
GACGAACCGUGCGAACGUUAUUCGGAAUCACUGGGCUUAAAGCGCGUGUAGGCGGGAGGGCACGUCGGUCGCUGAAAUCCCCCGGCUCAACCGGGGAAGUGGCGCCGAUACGACCUUCCUGGAGGAACGUAGGGGGACCUGGAACUUCCGGUGGAGCGGUGAAAUGCGCAGAUAUCAGGAAGAACACCCGUGGCGAAGGCGGCUCUCUGGAACGCAACUGACGCUGAGACGCGAAAGCGUGGGGAGCAAACAGG